rnacentral:lncRNA from 1 species
CAUUGUGGAAAUUAAUUGCAACCUUUCAUGAUUGUCCGAUCCCAUCUAUGGGUUUCAAGGAAGAUUAUGAAGUCCUUAGAACCACAAUGUGUCUAAUUUUUAUUCUGUAUUUUAUUUAUUUUUAAAUGUCUGAGAUGCUGAGAACCUGAGAUAUCACUCAUCUCAUCUUCCUGAAUUUUAUGAACUAAGAAGCGAAAGCUCACCCAAAGCCAUUUAUAGAGUCUAUGGAAAAAGAAGGACUAGACCCUGGAUUCCGUGAUUUACAGGGAUAUAAAGGGUGGCUGGUGCCAUUCUUCCAAAAGGAAAGCUGUCAUC